AAGUCGUAACAAGGUAACCGUAGGUGAACCUGCGGUUGGAUCAUUAUUGAUUAAACCUUAGCUUGGAAGUUGAGACCUUUACGGGACUCCUUUCAGGUUAAAUUUACACUAUGUGCACUGUAUAUGUUUUUCGAGUCUAUUGGUAUGCGAAAGAGUAAUGGUAAGGAAUGACUUUACGGUUAACCUUUACUGUGAAAGUAGCCGUACUUUAGGUUUAAUGAAGUUGGUUUGGGUUUAAUGUUUGUUAGUAACUGAAAGGUGAAAGUGAAUUAUGAACUUCAGUUAGUUUCAGGUAACUUUUUGUUAGGGGAUUCGUUCUCUACUAUAGACUCGGCUUUAUUAACCAACCCUUUUAACAUUUGACUUAGAAAUUUUUGUAAAAAAGAAAUUAAAACAACUUUUGACAACGGAUCUCUAGGCUCUC
rnacentral:misc_RNA from 1 species